rnacentral:misc_RNA from 1 species
AGCCAGUCUUCUGGCAUGGUU